rnacentral:lncRNA from 1 species
AUCACUAGAUAUUUGUCCAAAACUUUAAGUAUUUCAACAUUUUUCCCAAAAAAGCAGUUAUAAAUUGAAAUUUUUUAACUAAGAGCAAACCGCUAAUCCAAGUGAGUUUUUUGGGCUUUUAUUCAUCUCAUAUUUAUAAAAUUAAUCAUUACAAUGAAAAAAGACAAUGAAUUUAUAAUUAACAAUUUACUAUGGUUUCAUAUUCUGAGAACAUUAGUCUUCUUUCACAUCUUCACAUAGUAAGUGAAUUUUACAAUCCUGAAUAAUGACUAAAGAUCUCUACAAAGAUUUUCUGAGGUUAAAAAAAAUGUAUUGUUUUUGUAACGUAUUUAUUGUUACUCUUCUUAGGUAUGACAGUCAUUUGGAAAUUUGAGCAUUGUCAGUAUAGCUACUCUCCAAGCUUCCAGGUUCUCUCCGCGUCUGGCUCAUCUUAUGCCUGGCCUUGGGUACUGCUAUCAGUCUUACCUUGUUUCUUCUGAUCUGCGUUCUCAUCUCAGCUUCCUGCCCAACCCUCCUACAUUGCAUAAAUUUCUUCCCAAUAUGUUUGCUCUACAACAAAUGGUAUUAUUUUUGAGGUCUUCAGAUUCCUUCUGCAGUCUAGAAACACACCUACCUCUCCAGAUGGACCUCCUAAGACCUGGAUCCCUAUUUCAACUGCCUAUUUUACACCUUUUUCAUCCUCAGCAUCAGAGGAAUCAUAGGGCUGAGAUCAAAGAUAUACAACAAAGAUCGGAGGCAAGAUGUUGUCAGUGCCAAAGGAGUCAAAACACAUAUGAAACUAUCCUCCCCAGCCACAGCUGGAUACAAAGGUGUUACUCAGAGGGUGUGAGGUGGGGUGAUGCAGUCCACUCCUGGCACCAUUGAGACCCACUUGUACCCUACAUUAAAGGCAAUUCAUCACUGAGUGUUCAAGGUGGUGGCCUCUUCAAAAAGCUUAAUAUGCAACAGUUAGAUGCAGAAGCUACAGACGCUGUAACUGGUACUCAAAUCAUAAUUCGUAUUUAUCAUUUCACUUCUCUAUUGCACUUUGUAAUUUCUCUCUCCCUUUUGUCCACCAGGUUGUUCAGUCCGUUUUGAUGAUCUAGGUUGCUUGCCUAAGGGAGUC